rnacentral:rRNA from 1 species
GGGUCAGUAGGUUGGUCGUGCCACCGGUACGUACUGGUCUCACUGAUUCCUCCUUCCUGAAGAACCGUAAUGCCAUUAAUUUGGUGUUGCGGGGAAACAGGACUGUUACUUUGAAAAAAUUAGAGUGUUUAAAGCAAGCUAACGCUUGAAUACAUUAGCAUGGAAUAAUGAAACCGGACGAUCGAUCCUAUUUUGUUGGUUUCUAGGAUUGACGUA